GUGGAUGGAGCAUCGUUCCUCAUUAUUGGCUCUUCCAAGUCGGCCGUUAUGUCAUCGAAAGUGAAACCACGCUGAUGUCGGGAAACAAAAAAGCUAACCAUAGUCACUUUAACAUUUCAAAAACACUUGAGAUGUGAUUAAUAAUAAAGCAGUUUAUGAGCUAAUUAAUAAACAUUAAAAUUCAGGUUUUGUGGUAUUGGCUCGG